AUCCACAAAUGAGCGCGCUUGCGCGCGCACACACACAAUUCGGUGCUUCUCGGUCGUCACGGCAAAUUAAAGGAGCGCUCACGUGACGACGGGAUGCUUGGUGAAGUCGGCGUCGCAGGCACCGGUCAGCUUGCUGGAGAUGGGACACACCUGGAUGAAGAGCCGUUAGGGACAAUAAUUCAGGAUUACCUCUCACACUUACUAGUUAAACACUCUCUUAUACACAUUACAGUAAUUUGUUUUUCUCAAAAAACUGGUGAAAUGCUUUCAUGUCCACAAGUGAAACACUCUCAGAAUGAGAUUCCCCCCACACACACUCAUUAACACUAGUGAAAUGUUCACACACAUUACUCAAAUUUGUUUUACUCGUAAACACUAGUGAAAUGCUCUCUAACACAAUACUCAAACAUGCUCGUACCCAAAAUUGACAUUUGCACCCGAGAGGACAGGCUGGCUUUCCCCAAACUUCCAAUGUUAUUAUUAUUACAAUUAUGAUUAUUAUUAUGAUACAGUUCCCCAAACAUUAAAUGGGGUGUGGGUUUAUAGUAUUUUUAGUAUCACUGAAGUCAUUACGAAAUAUUAUUAUUUUUAAACAGACAACACUAACGGGUUUCUCUUUGUCUAAUUUAUUUUCCAGAUGGCCGGUCAGGUGACUCUUCAGGAGCCAGCUAAGUAGCAGCUUACUUUCUUUUUCUUUUUAUCGUGAGUUCCAUUUUCCCAUGUAACAAAGAAUGGGACAUUUGUUUCAACAAACAUAUAAUUCAAUAAAUGUCUGUUUAUUACCAAUUUUAACACCUAGUUACUAUUUACCCACUCUGUAGCUGUCGCGUGCGCACCAAAGGCAAAUUUGUGACCACAAAUUAGGCAGAACAUGAGAUAAAUAAAUUAUAUAAUUCCUGGAGAGUUGGGUGAGCAAAUCAAGCGCACCUCCUCUAGAAACGGCAAGGCAGAUGACAUCUUGUGUUGCAGUUUCUAUUAAAGGUGUGCCCCAUUUGCUUCCCAAGACAUUCAUGUGAAUGAUUAUAAAAUGCACAAAUUAGUAUUUCUUGCCUGUGCAUGUCAUGUCUGGGGUUCUGUAUUAUUAUAGUCGCGUUGUAACAAUAAUUUCAAAAAAAAAAAAAAAAAAUGCUGAAAGAUUGGAGGGAAAAAAACUGACUUAAGCAUCAUGAAUGCAGCCAAUUUACUUCAGGAGGCAUUUUGGACAUUUUCUCACCUCAAAGUGCAUGUUUUGAGCCAAUAGUUGCGUGUAAAGCACUUGGUCCUCCAGGGUCCUGUAACCGUGCCCCACCCGUUCGGCCUUCAGCACCUCGACAGCCUGAAAUGUCACAUGGGACCCAUCAGCGCAUGACAACAUUGAAAAGAUGAGAGGCACGGUACACCCUGGAUUGGUCGCUAGCCAAUCGCAGGGCACAGAUAGACAAAUAACUACUGACCUUCACACUUAUGGACAAUUUAUAGUCAUCUUCUUGUUUUUGGGAUGUGGGAGGAAGCCGGCGUACCCAAACACGUAAGCAUGGAUCCCCGUGCUUUGCAUGCUUGGUUUUCUCCGGGUACACCGGCAAACAUACAAACUCCACACAGCAAUGCCCGGAUUCCAACCACCAACCUCAGUACUGUGAGGUCAAUGUGCUAACCUCCACCAUGCUGUCCAUUAUCCAAUUUCCCUUUUCAUUUUCCCGAAAAUGUAUUGACUCCCAAUAAUUUAUUAAGCAACACUUAUAGACAGACAAUAUAACAAUACUCACAGGCAUGUAUUCCUUAUCGUCAGUGAAAACCCUCCAACUAAUAUUAUUGCAGCUUACCAAGUCACUGGGAGUUGUGGUGACUCUUUGUUUGUCUAUAUGACUGUAUUAUACUGCCCCCGGUGGCCAAGACGGGCACACAAUGAAUGGAAUUGAAGCAUUUAAUUAUGAUGCACAAAAUGUUUUCUUUACAUUCUUUUUAAUAAUCUUAUGACUGUAUGUCUGUAUGAAGUGCAAUAUUACAGUGCUACUUUACUGAGCAAACAAGUCUACAAAAGUUUUUUUUUUUUUCUUCUUCCAGAGAAGCUGGAACGAAUUAAUGGGACUUCCAUUCAUUUCAAUGGGGAAAGAUGAUUUGAGAUAUGAGUGUUUUACUUGACGAUUGUAGUCACGGAAUGAAUGAAACUCGUAUUUCAAGGCACCACUGUAUAGCUCUACAACAGCUUUGUAUUCAACGAAACAGGCCCACAUUUCCCACUAAGUAAAUUUGUGGGUAAAUUGAGUCGAGCUCAUAAUUUUUUUUAGUAUAUAUUAUUGCGAUAUCUCUCUCGUGUAAAAUAUAUACCUUGGCUCAAUAAAGAUCAGGAAGCGCUGCUCUGGUUUGUUCUAUCUUGCUUCAAUUCAUCAUGACUCAACUGUUAAGCUUUGUCUGUUCAGCUGAAAGUGUGAAACAUUGUGCCACCCCUGUCAGGAAUGUGUCACCGUGGUUAUGGUCCAAUGGCCUACCUCCUUGACCACUGAGGCCGGGCCCACCUCGCCCGCGUGAACUGUCCGGUGGAUCCCCCAGCGCACUGCUUCCUGCCAAUGGAAUCAAAUCAAAGCAAAGUAUGGUCAGGUCACAUGACAUAAGAGCAUUUACGCACAGCUAAAUCUUGUUGGUUCAUCAUUUCCCAGGUGUCUUAAAAAAAGGUCUCUGGAAGUACAGAAUUUCAAGACAGUUUUCAUCCACUUGUUACACUUAAAUUGGAAUUCAUCUGUUUUGGGGGGCCGCCACUGCUCCUCCUGCCACCAUGUACGACUGGAGUACAGGUUUCAUUACCAUGGCGACCGCGUGUGAAGAAACUGUCAACUGUCAAUCAAAUAUGUUCUUAAGUCGAGCAUCUUAAUUAUAACUAAAUAACGAACAAUUGCGCCAGAUAGCCGCUGAUACCAACGAAGAUGGUUCUUGUACAGAGGUCGAGGGGUGACUCAUUCCGGAUACCGAAGUGCGUCACUGGGUAUCGUUUUAGUCACGCCGAAAAAAAUCAGGAAAACAAACGGUGAAAAAGAGUUUAAUGCUAUAUCUCCAAAAUUGAUCUUCAAACAUGUAUAAUGUAUUUUGAAACCAAGCUCUGAAUUGACUUUACAGGGUCUUCGAACUACGGCCUGUUUGUGAAAGUGGCCCAUGGUGGCGUUUGCUCAGAGAGAGGCUAACCUCGUAAGCUCUCCUGUGUCCCGGGUAAGCCUCGCAGUUGAGUGACUCGUCACCCGCCAGGUCGAUGGCCACCACCCCCUCGUGACGAUAUCUCUUACAAAGCUCCAGCACGUCUGCGGACCAGCCUGCACAAUUGAAUUGGACGCAUCAGACACGGAGCACUUUACCUCCCAGUCUCGCCUGGAUUAGCAAGACUAACCACUUGCUCGUGUCACUGAAUUGUGGUGUCAUCCUGAGCCCACAGAUGGGGGCACUAAUGGCAAGUGACAAAGUACAAACACUUGAGUGAGUACAAAUACUUUGCUAUUGUACUUCAGUAAAUUUUUCAGAAUGUAUCUGUACUUGAGAAUCUACUUUCCUGACUGCCCUUUUUUUCCUUCUACUCCCUACAUUUGAAAACAUAUAUAGUGGAACCUCAAUAGAACGGACUAAUAGGGGCAGGGGGUCGUCUGAUAUAGCCAUUGAAGCACUUUUUUUUUUUUUUUUUUUUCCGGGCCAUAUUGCACCCAUGUUACUGUAGUGUACAGUACAAAAUUGUUUUUUUUCAGGAUUUUUUUUCAUGGUCUAAAAUGCCCAAUACAGUACAAAGUUAUUGUAAAUAAAAAUAUAAAAAGUUUAAAAAUGUUUGAAAGUUUCACAUUUUAUCCAAACUUACCAUGCCGGUGUGUUUGGUCAUGGUGCAGUACAGUGUAGGUGAGUCGCUUUCAUGAGCCGCGAGGAAUUAGUGUGCUUCCUAGAUCCAAAUCUGUGGCCAAAGGUGAACGGCGUGACAGAAAAAACUGUACCAAAAAUAGCAUGUUCCAGACUCUAAAGACUUAUGUUUUGUAUCCCUCAGAGUUAACGCCGCACCCAUGCCGCUGUCUUUCUGCCAGUGCUCUAUGUACAAUAGACAAUAGAUAGAACCAUUACACCAUGGCCGCCCCAUCAAUGCCCCUCAUUCAACAUGGCCGCCAUGUAGGCACUGGACGCACGUCUUUUGUAAUUUGAUCUAGUCAUAUUGUAUAUCUGUGACCUGGAAAUAUGUCAGUCCCAUUCUUUGCCUGCAUUGCGCCACACCGCCGGUAAACAACAGCGGCCAAUUUUGGAACUGACAUACUUUGUUAAAGGCAUUACAAGUGACAAAUGGAAACUAUUUUUGGACACAUUGUUCAGUCCGGACGGUUUUUAUCCAUUAUAUCGGGGUCCGUUUUAUCGAGGUUCCAUUGGAUGUACAAAAUAGGCUUGUCACUUUUUUCAAAGUCUGCAGAUGAUUGUUUAAGAUCUUGGGGAACUACAAGGCAGAAAAAAAUGGGACAGCAGAGACAUGGACGAAUGUGAACCAGGGAGCAUGAACAAAUAUAAAGUAACAGGUAUUGUAAAUAAUUCACAGUGGAAAGUAUUUUUUUCUUCUGAAAUUACCGUAAU